rnacentral:rRNA from 2 species
GACGUAGGGCGCAAGCGUUGUCCGGAUUUAUUGGGCGUAAAGAGCUCGUAGGCGGCUUGUUGCGUCGUCCGUGAAAACCUGUGGCUCAACUACAGGCUUGCGGUCGAUACGGGCGGGCUGGAGUUCGGUAGGGGAGACUGGAAUUCCUGGUGUAGCGGUGAAAUGCGCAGAUAUCAGGAGGAACACCGGUGGCGAAGGCGGGUCUCUGGGCCGAUACUGACGCUGAGGAGCGAAAGCGUGGGGAGCGAACAGG